UCUGUUUUCAUUAAUCAAGAACGAAAGUUAGGGGAUCGAAGACGAUCAGAUACCGUCGUAGUCUUAACCAUAAACUAUGCCACUAGAGAUUGGAGGUUGUUCCUUACUC
rnacentral:rRNA from 1 species